UACGGAGGUGGCAAGCGUUGCUCGGAAUCACUGGGCGUAAAGGGCGCGUAGGCGGGGAGGUAAGUCGGGUGUGAAAUCCCUCGGCCCAACCGAGGAACUGCGCCCGAGACUGCUUCUCUUGAGUCCCGGAGAGGAAGAUGGAAUUCCCGGUGUAGCGGUGAAAUGUGUAGAGAUCGGGAGGAACACCAAUGGCGAAGGCAGCUCGCUGGGACGUUACUGACGCUGAGACGCGAAAGCGUGGGGAGCAAACAGG
rnacentral:rRNA from 1 species